rnacentral:rRNA from 1 species
UGGGCGAAGCCUGAUCCAGCCAUGCCGCGUGCAGGAUGAAGGCCUUCGGGUUGUAAACUGCUUUUGUACGGAACGAAAAGACUCCUUCUAAUAAAGGGGGUCCAUGACGGUACCGUAAGAAUAAGCACCGGCUAACUACGUGCCAGCAGCCGCGGUAAUACGUAGGGUGCAAGCGUUAAUCGGAAUUACUGGGCGUAAAGCGUGCGCAGGCGGUUAUGUAAGACAGAUGUGAAAUCCCCGGGCUCAACCUGGGAACUGCAUUUGUGACUGCAUAGCUAGAGUACGGUAGAGGGGGAUGGAAUUCCGCGUGUAGCAGUGAAAUGCGUAGAUAUGCGGAGGAACACCGAUGGCGAAGGCAAUCCCCUGGACCUGUACUGACGCUCAUGCACGAAAGCGUGGGGAGCAAACAGGAUUAGAUACCCUGGUAGUCCACGCCCUAAACGAUGUCAACUGGUUGUUGGGUCUUCACUGACUCAGUAACGAAGCUAACGCGUGAAGUUGACCGCCUGGGGAGUACGGCCGCAAGGUUGAAACUCAAAUGAAUUGACGGGGAAUCGAAUUCCCGCGGCCGCCAUGGCGGCCGGGAGCAUGCGACGUCGGGCCCAAUUCGCCCUWGGGGRRNK